UGGAGUUUAGCCAUAUUAAUUUAUUAAGUUGAGAUCAAUUCCUUUAAGAUGCUUACGUACGAGAGAAAUUUUCCUUUUGGAAAUGCUUUUUGAGUUUAUUAAAGUGUUGAAAUGAGUGCACUAGAUUUUAUGUAAAUUUACUCAUCGUGGACAAAAGUUAAUCUAUCAAUUUUUAACAUGAAUGAAUGCUUCUGGAUUCUUGAGUUUAAGGGUGCACCUUUUUAUGGGGAUUGUGUGUGGAAAACACAAAGCGUCUGAAUUAGUUAUUGUUACAAUGAUACGCUUUAAUUUAUAAUAUUGAAUGAUG
rnacentral:lncRNA from 1 species